rnacentral:rRNA from 1 species
UACGGGGGGGGCAAGCGUUGUUCGGAAUUACUGGGCGUAAAGGGCGCGUAGGCGGCCUUCUAAGUCGGACGUGAAAUCCCUCGGCUUAACCGAGGAACUGCGUCCGAUACUGGCAGGCUUGAAUCCGGGAGAGGGAUGCGGAAUUCCAGGUGUAGCGGUGAAAUGCGUAGAUAUCUGGAGGAACACCGGUGGCGAAGGCGGCAUCCUGGACCGGUAUUGACGCUGAGGCGCGAAAGCCAGGGGAGCAAACGGG